GCGGCCUAUCAGCUUGUUGGUGGGGUAAUGGCCUACCAAGGCAACGACGGGUAGCUGGUCUGAGAGGAUGAUCAGCCACACUGGGACUGAGACACGGCCCAGACUCCUACGGGAGGCAGCAGUGGGGAACCUUGCGCAAUGGGCGAAAGCCUGACGCAGCAACGCCGCGUGCGGGAUGAAGGCCUUCGGGUUGUAAACCGCUUUCAGCAGGAACGAAAAUGACGGUACCUGCAGAAGAAGGAGCGGCCAACUACGUGCCAGCAGCCGCGGUGACACGUAGGCUCCAAGCGUUGUCCGGAUUUAUUGGGCGUAAAGAGCUCGUAGGCGGUUUAGUAAGUCGGGUGUUAAAACUCUGGGCUCAACCCGGAGACGCCAUCCGAUACUACUAUGACUUGAGUUCAGGAGGGGAGACUGGAAUUCCU
rnacentral:rRNA from 1 species